GGGGAUGAAAAUCCUCUUCGGUACAAAUCUUCCCCUACCAUUAGGAAACGUGCGAUCUUCUUUGUGUCUUUGGAAGGGAGACGGACGCCGUCAUCUUGUUGCUUCAUUAGUGCCUUUAUCUCCUUCUGCUAAUCAUCUGCGUUGUCCGUGGUUAUAGCUUGACACUCAAUGGACCGUUGCAGUAAAACUUGCCGGAUGAUGGUAG
rnacentral:lncRNA from 1 species